UCCCAGACUCCUACGGGAGGCAGCAGUGAGGAAUAUUGGUCAAUGGGCGGAAGCCUGAACCAGCCAAGUCGCGUGAGGGAAGAAGGCCCUGCGGGUCGCAGACCUCUUUGGACGGGGAGCAAGGCCGCCGACGUGUCGGCGGAAGGAGAGUACCCGUAGAACAAGCAUCGGCUAACUCCGUGCCAGCAGCCGCGGUAAUACGGAGGAUGCGAGCGUUAUCCGGAUUUAUUGGGUUUAAAGGGUGCGUAGGCGGGCUUUUAAGUCAGCGGUAAAAAUUCGGGGCUCAACCCCGUCCGGCCGUUGAAACUGGCUGUCUUGAGAUGUCGAGAGGUAUGCGGAAUGCGCAGUGUAGCGGUGAAAUGCUUAGAUAUUGCGCAGAACUCCGAUUGCGAAGGCAGCAUACCGGCGGCGAUCUGACGCUGAGGCACGAAAGCGUGGGUAUCGAACAGGAUUAGAUACCCCCGUA
rnacentral:rRNA from 1 species